CAUCUCGAGGUGGCUUGGACACAAUUUCACGAGUCGGACGACGUCAUCGAUUUUGACAACGCCUGACGACUGAUGACUGAAACGUCAAAAUCUCAAUGGAGAUGAGGAGCCGAGUAACAAGAGGACUCACAACACAGGAGCUCGAGUCGCUCACUCGCAUUCACAGUGUGACGUCACGGCGACACAUGGGCCACCACAGACAGACGUUGGGCGCGCGCCAGUGACGUCAUCUUUUGUACAAAGAUUAAAGCCGACGCUGCACGUGUGAGCGCAAUUUUGUGGACCCGAACCAGUGACGUCACCACCCGGGGCUCCGAAGCGACCCCGAAAGAUGGAAGCCGCGAAGUUUUGUUCGAUGUGUACCCCGUCGACGAGCAGGUAGGGAGGCCAUCAUUGUCAUCUCCGCCCAAAUCGAUUGGGGGAAAAAAUGUUUUGUUUUAGUUUUUUUGUCCAAAAAAAGUGUGUGCAAAAUAUUCACGUACUGAUAUCUCAAAUGAAAAACUGAAAUACAUGUUUCUGUUGUGUGUAUGAGAACGUAUCAGUUUUCGUGAGAGGUAACGCUGACUUAUGUGCUGGAGACCACUCUUACAGUUAACAGGCGGCUGUCUAUUACAAUAUACAAUAUACAAUUAAACGUGCUCAAGUAGGAUCACAAAAUUAAUCGUGUUAAAAAAAAAGUCCAGAUUGAACUGCUGUAUUUCUGUAAUAUUCAUGUCGACCGCAAAUAAGACGACGUUUACAUCGUUCAGCCAAAGUGCCACUGAAGUCGUGUUUCGAACUUGUCAACUGUCAAAACAAAUGAAAUUGAUGACGUUUCUGCAGUUUCACAUCAGUCUUGGAGGCGUCUCCGAGUGCAUGUUUCAAGAUGUUCUAUGUCCAAACAAAUCAAGGAGACACCAUUUGGGCCGUUUGGCUAGUUGCAGUCCCAUCUAGGUCCUGCAGAUGUUGUUAGCGCAUAUUUCAAACUUUUGUCAACCGUCAAAACAAAUCAAGACGGCGUUUAUGCCGUUCCACUAAAGUCCCUCAAACGUUGUCUGUUAGCUUGAAUUUCAACCUGCUGUCAAGUGUCAAAACACAUCAAGAAGGAACUGGGAACACCCUUCAUCUCGUUGCAGUUCCACUUAAGUCAUGUCGACAUCAUUGGCUAGUUUUUAAACUUUUCAAACAAAUAAAUGUUUUUCCCGUUUGGUUAGUUGCAGUUCCCCCCCAUGUCCUGUAGGCGUCAGUAGUGUGCAUUUCAAAUACAUGUAGUGUUACAUUGUCAAAUAAAAUCAAGAUGACAUUUGUACAAUU